AGCUAGUUGGUGAGGUAACGGCCCACCAAGGCGACGAUCGGUAGCCGGACUGAGAGGUUGAACGGCCACAUUGGGACUGAGACACGGCCCAGACUCCUACGGGAGGCAGCAGUGGGGAAUAUUGCACAAUGGGGGAAACCCUGAUGCAGCGACGCCGCGUGGAGGAAGAAGGUCUUCGGAUUGUAAACUCCUGUUGUUGAGGAAGAUAAUGACGGUACUCAACAAGGAAGUGACGGCUAACUACGUGCCAGCAGCCGCGGUAAAACGUAGGUCACAAGCGUUGUCCGGAAUUACUGGGUGUAAAGGGAGCGCAGGCGGGAAGACAAGUUGGAAGUGAAAUCCAUGGGCUUAACCCAUGAACUGCUUUCAAAACUGUUUUUCUUGAGUAGUGCAGAGGUAGGCGGAAUUCCCGGUGUAGCGGUGGAAUGCGUAGAUAUCGGGAGGAACACCAGUGGCGAAGGCGGCCUACUGGGCACCAACUGACGCUGAGGCUCGAAAGUGUGGGUAGCAAACAGGAUUAGAUACCCUGGUAGUCCACACCGUAAACGAUGAUUACUAGGUGUUGGAGGAUUGACCCCUUCGGUGCCGCAGUUAACACAAUAAGUAAUCCACCUGGGGAGUACGACCGCAAGGUUGAAACUCAAAGGAAUUGACGGGGGCCCGCACAAGCAGUGGAGUAUGUGGUUUAAUUCGACGCAACGCGAAGAACCUUACCAAGUCUUGACAUCCUGUGACAGACGUAGAAAUACGUUCUUCCUUCGGGACACAGAGACAGGUGGUGCAUGGUUGUCGUCAGCUCGUGUCGUGAGAUGUUGGGUUAAGUCCCGCAACGAGCGCAACCCUUAUGGUCAGUUACUACGCAAGAGGACUCUGGCCAGACUGCCGUUGACAAAACGGAGGAAGGUGGGGAUGACGUCAAAUCAUCAUGCCCUUUAUGACUUGGGCUACACACGUACUACAAUGGCGUUAAACAAAGAGAAGCAAGACCGCGAGGUGGAGCAAAACUCAGAAACAACGUCCCAGUUCGGACUGCAGGCUGCAACUCGCCUGCACGAAGUCGGAAUUGCUAGUAAUCGUGGAUCAGCAUGCCACGGUGAAUACGUUCCCGGGCCUUGUACACACCGCCCGUCACACCAUGAGAGCCGGGGGGACCCGAAGUCGGUAGUCUAACCGCAAGGAGGACGCCGCCGAAGGUAAAACUGGUGAUUGGGGUGAAGUCGAAACAAGGUAGCCGUAGGAGAACCUGCGGCUG
rnacentral:rRNA from 1 species